CUAAGAAUAUUCCGCAAUGGACGAAAGUCUGACGGAGCGACGCCGCGUGGAUGAAGAAGGCCGAAAGGUUGUAAAGUUCUUUUGCUAGGGGAGAAUAAGUGAGGGAGGGAAUGCCCUCAUGAUGACAAGGACUAGCGAAUAAGCCCCGGCCAACUACGUGCCAGCAGCCGCGGUAACACGUAGGGGGCGAGCGUUGUUCGGAAUUACUGGGCGUAAAGGGCAUGUAGGCGGCUUGGUAAGCCUGGCGUGAAAGACUGCAGCUUAACUGUAGGGAUGCGUUGGGAACUGCUUAGCUUGAGUUACGGAGAGGGAGCUGGAAUUCCUGGUGUAGGGGUGAAAUCUGUAGAUAUCAGGAAGAACACCGAUGGCGAAGGCAAGCUUCUGGUCGAUAACUGACGCU
rnacentral:rRNA from 1 species